rnacentral:snRNA from 1 species
UCGCUCCGGCAGCACAUAGACUACAAUCGGAACAAUACAGAGAAGAUCAGCACGGCCCCUGCGCAAGGAUGACAUUCGAGAAGCGUUCUUUAACAAA